ACAGCUUAUAUGAGUACGUCAGACGAAUCGUGUCGGAAUUUUGUCAAACGCAAAAUUUCUUACGAACCCAACAUCUUUGUUUCUACUGAUAGGAAGGAUGGGUCCCGCAGGAACUAGUUUCGUUUCACCAAAGAACACACCGGUAAAACGUGGGUAGAAAGGAGUAGCUCUUCUUGCUCAUGCUGAGCUCAUCCAUCCUCCCCUCUUCAUGGAAGCACAUGUCGCCUGGCUCUUGUGAUCCUCCUCUUCCUCUUCCUCGUCUCUAAUUCCAAUCCGGUCUUCAUUUCGGAUCCAAAGCGGACAACAUGAUUGCCACAAAUUUCAAUCAACGAAUAAUGGUGCCAUCAGCAUUUAGAUCGAUUCAAAAUGGGUGACGUCUUGAGUUGUGAUGAUGGACAGAGAAAACAGUAAAUAUGUUUGAUUUAAUGUCUCUCAGUUCUUUCUUAUGCCUUCAAUUUUUCAUUGUUCUUAUGGAUUCGUUUAUCAUUUCAUUAUCUUCACCAUUUGAUCUAUCCUUAUUUUGGAUUAUUCACUGAAUAGGACGUAAAUGUUUUGUAUUAAACAGACAGCAGACGACUACUAGAAAUCUUUAUUUACAGAAACUACCAUUAUUGGUUAAUUCGUCGAGAAUGAGAGGUCGGAAUAUACUCUGAGAUGGCUUAAACUUGGCUUUGGGAAGACUAAAUGGGGAAAAUAAGCUCAACUGGUCAAAUUAAUGUGACAGGAUGGCACAGUUUUUAUGAAGAUGAUUGAGAUAUAUUCCAUAUUUUGAUGUUUAAACAGUUAGCCACAGGAAUAAUUUUCAUUUAAUUUAUUCCUUUUACCCAGAUUCCUUGUUCUACACGGAUGUGAAACUAUCUAUAUUUGUUAUGUUUGUAAUGCGUGUAGGUGAAUCUGUAUAAAGAAUUGAAACAUCAAUAUUUUUCUAGGAAAGAGCUAUAUGUUACAUGUAUUUUUUUUUACUGUGA